UACGUAGGGGGCAAGCGUUGUCCGGAAUUAUUGGGUGUAAAGCGCGCGCAGGCGGUUCUUUAAGUCUGGUGUUUAAGCCCGGGGCUCAACCUCGGGACGCACGGGAAACUGGGGGACUGGAGUGCAGGAGAGGAGAGCGGAAUUCCACGUGUGGCGGUGAAAUGCGUAGAGAUGUGGAGGAACACCAGUGGCGAAGGCGGCUCUCUGGCCUGUAACUGACGCUCAGGUGCGAAAGCGUGGGGAGCAAACAGG
rnacentral:misc_RNA from 1 species